rnacentral:rRNA from 1 species
UACGAAGGGGGCUAGCGUUGCUCGGAAUCACUGGGCGUAAAGCGCACGUAGGCGGCUUUCUAAGUCAGGGGUGAAAUCCUGGAGCUCAACUCCAGAACUGCCUUUGAUACUGGGAGCUCGAGUCCGGGAGAGGUGAGUGGAACUCCGAGUGUAGAGGUGAAAUUCGUAGAUAUUCGGAAGAACACCAGUGGCGAAGGCGGCUCACUGGCCCGGUACUGACGCUGAGGUGCGAAAGCGUGGGGAGCAAACAGG